UUCUCUGGUUGAUCCUGCCAGAGGUUACUGCUAUCGAGGUUCGACUAAGCCAUGCGAGUCGAAUGUAGCAAUACAUGGCGUACUGCUCAGUAACACGUGGACAACCUGCCCUUGAGACGGGGAUAAACCCGGGAAACUGGGUAUAAUACCCGAUAGAUCUCGAUUGCUGGAAUGCAUCGAGCUUGAAAGCUCCGGCGCUCAAGGAUGGGUCUGCGGCCUAUCAGGUAGUAGUGGGUGUAGCGUACCUACUAGCCUACGACGGGUACGGGUUGUGAGAGCAAGAGCCCGGAGAUGGAUUCUGAGACACGAAUCCAGGCCCUACGGGGUGCAGCAGGCGCGAAAACUUUACAAUGCUGGAAACAGCGAUAAGGGGACCUCGAGUGCCAGGUUACAAAUCUGGCUGUCGUGAUGCAUAAAAAGCAUUGCAUAGCAAGGGCCGGGCAAGACCGGUGCCAGCCGCCGCGGUAACACCGGCGGCUCGAGUGGUAACCGUUAUUAUUGGGUCUAAAGGGUCUGUAGCCGGCCGGAUAAGUCUCUUGGGAAAUCUGGCAGCUUAACUGUCAGGCUUUCAGGAGAUACUGUCUGGCUCGAGGCCGGGAGAGGUGAGAGGUACUUCAGGGGUAGGGGUGAAAUCUUGUAAUCCUUGAAGGACCACCAGUGGCGAAGGCGUCUCACCAGAACGGACCUGACGGCAAGGGACGAAAGCUAGGGGCACGAACCGGAUUAGAUACCCGGGUAGUCCUAGCCGUAAACGAUACUCGCUAGGUGUCGGCAACGGUGCGACCGUUGUCGGUGCCGUAGGGAAGCCGUGAAGCGAGCCACCUGGGAAGUACGGCCGCAAGGCUGAAACUUAAAGGAAUUGGCGGG
rnacentral:rRNA from 1 species